AAGCUUUCUUCCCUACAUCUGAUUCAGUUAGCGAGGUGGUUGUUGGAGUGCUAGACACUGGUGUCUGGCCAGAAGCAAAAAGCUUUGACGACACAGGUCUUGGCCCCAUUCCGCGUACCUGGAAAGGCGAGUGUGAGACAGGCAAGAACUUCAAUUCAUCAAGCUGUAACCGGAAACUGAUUGGAGCAAGAUUCUUCUCAAAAGGGUAUGAAGCAGCAUUUGGACCUGUUGAUGAGACAGUGGAAUCAAGGUCCCCCAGAGAUGACGAUGGCCAUGGAACUCACACUUCAACUACAGCAGCUGGGUCAGCUGUCUCAGGAGCUAGCCUAUUUGG
rnacentral:lncRNA from 1 species